UGGAUCCAGACUUUGAUCCUGGCUCAGGACGAACGCUGGCGGCACGCUUAACACAUGCAAGUCGAACGGUGAAGAAGAGCUUGCUCUUUGGAUCAGUGGCGGACGGGUGAGUAACACGUGAGCAAUCUGCCUUAAGGAGAGGGAUAGCAGCUGGAAACGGCUGAUAAUACCUCAUAACAUAUUUUUGCCGCAUGGCAGAUAUAUCAAAGAUUUAUCGCCUUAAGAUGAGCUCGCGUCUGAUUAGAUAGUUGGUGAGGUAACGGCUCACCAAGUCGACGAUCAGUAGCCGGACUGAGAGGUUGGACGGCCACAUUGGGACUGAGACACGGCCCAGACUCCUACGGGAGGCAGCAGUGGGGAAUAUUGCACAAUGGGCGAAAGCCUGAUGCAGCGAUGCCGCGUGAGGGAGGAAGGUUCUAGGAUUGUAAACCUCUGUCUUCAGGGAAGAUAAUGACAGUACCUGAGGAGGAAGCUCCGGCUAACUACGUGCCAGCAGCCGCGGUAAUACGUAGGGAGCGAGCGUUGUCCGGAAUUACUGGGUGUAAAGGGAGAGUAGGCGGGAUUGCAAGUCAGAUGUGAAAUUUAUGGGCUUAACCCAUAACGUGCAUUUGAAACUGUAGUUCUUGAGUGAAGUAGAGGUAAGCGGAAUUCCUAGUGUAGCGGUGAAAUGCGUAGAUAUUAGGAGGAACAUCAGUGGCGAAGGCGGCUUACUGGGCUUUAACUGACGCUGAGGCUCGAAAGCGUGGGGAGCAAACAGGAUUAGAUACCCUGGUAGUCCACGCCGUAAACGAUGAUUACUAGGUGUGGGGGGACUGACCCCUUCCGUGCCGCAGUUAACACAAUAAGUAAUCCACCUGGGGAGUACGACCGCAAGGUUGCAACUCAAAGGAAUUGACGGA
rnacentral:rRNA from 1 species